rnacentral:rRNA from 3 species
UGAAGCGUACAGGGAGGAUGCCUAGGCAGUCAGAGGCGAAGAAGGGCGUGUUAAUCUGCGAAAAGCGACGGUAAGCUGAUAAAAAGCGUGUUAGCCGUUGAUACCCGAAUGGGGCAACCCAGUGCAGAAUAUGCACUAUCGUAAUAUGAAUAAAUAGUAUUGCGAGGCAAACCAGGGGAAUUGAAACAUCUCAGUACCCUGAGGAAAAGAAAUCAACCGAGAUUCCCUAA